CGACUCUCGGCAACGGAUAUCUCGGCUCUCGCAUCGAUGAAGAACGUAGCGAAAUGCGAUACUUGGUGUGAAUUGCAGAAUCCCGUGAACCAUCGAGUCUUUGAACGCAAGUUGCGCCCGAAACCACUCGGUUGAGGGCACGUCUGCCUGGGCGUCACGCAUC
rnacentral:rRNA from 2 species